AUUAAUAGUUAUAUUCUUUAAACUUAAAAAAAUUGGCGGUAUUUAAAUCUAAUUAGGGGAACUUGUUUAUUAAAUGAUAAUCCGCAAGAUACCUUACUUUAGUUUAUUUAAUUUAUUUAUUGUCGUUAACAGAUUAUUUUUUAAGAAUUUAAAUUUUCAUAAUUUUUUAAAAGAAAUUAUUUCAGAUCAUUAUGUAGUUUAUAUUAAAGUUUAAAUGAGUUACAAUAAAAUUUAUUUAAUUUAUGGAUAUUAUAUUGAAAUAUAUAAUUUAAAGUGGACUUAAUAGUAAAAUUUAAAAUUAUAUUUUUUUGAAUUAAGAAUUAAAU
rnacentral:rRNA from 1 species